rnacentral:sRNA from 1 species
UGACUUUCUGCUUACAUUUAAACCUACCGAUUUGGACUAGUUCACUAGUUUUCUAUCCUGGCCCUUUGGGGGCUUUUAGCAUGGAUUCUAACUUGCAUAGUAGUGAAGAACAAGAUUCCAAUUAAAACUUUAUGGUCAAGCAACUACUGUAAAACUUGUGGAAGUCUACAUGAUGGGAAAGUUAAAUAUAUUCGAGAUUUGUUACACAAAUUUAACUGGUGUGUACUAUGCAGGUCAGGUUGUUGAAGGGAUUGUGACUGUGGAACUGAAAGAACCAAUGAAAAUGAGAGGGAUCAGAAUCAACUUUAAAGGUGAAGCUUAUGUUAUGUGGGAGGAGAGGAGAACAGAAAAACAUGGUCAUGAGGAAAGUGAUGUUAAUGACACUUAUUUUAACUCAGAAAAAUACUUUGAUCAAGAUAGCCUUUUAUUUGGCAUCUGUGAGAAUACCACUUUUUUUUAUAUAUAUAUAUACCUGUUCAAACAUUUUAUAUUGUUUGACAGAAGUUUCUAUAAUUAGCAUCCUUUAGAAAACAAACCAUCUGGACAUGCUCAUCUAUCCCUAAGUAUAUAUAAGCUAGUUGUACCAUUUUUGCAAGGUUACUACCUUUCCUGCUAUGCAUAUCUUUUCAUAGAUUAAGGGGAUUAAUUGAAGCUCAUGAAAAGUAGUAUAAACUUUUUUUAAGGUCUCAUUUGUUUCUAUGGCAAAUUGUUGGUCGAUGUCUAAUAUCAA